rnacentral:rRNA from 1 species
UACGGAGGUGGCAAGCGUUGUUCGGAAUUACUGGGCGUAAAGGGCGCGUAGGCGGUCCUAUAAGUCCUGUGUGAAAUCCCCCGGCUCAACUGGGGAAUUGCACGGGAAACUGUAGGGCUUGAGUUCGGGAGAGGGAAGCGGAAUUCCGGGUGUAGCGGUGAAAUGCGUAGAUAUCCGGAGGAACACCGGUGGCGAAGGCGGCUUCCUGGACCGACACUGACGCUGAUGCGCGAAAGCUAGGGGAGCAAACGGG